AUAGAUUUCGAGGAUAUGUACCAGACUACUUGGGUUCAACAAAAAAAUUUGGUAAAACGCAUACUUUUAAUCGAAAUGGAAAACGAUCCUAAUAGGACAAAUGGGCGCAUUGGGCGAGAAAUUGAAGAAGAACCUUCAUUAGAAACGAAAAGAAAUGUUGUGGCAAACGAAGUCACAUCCCUUUCCCCUACCAAUAAUCAAACAUAUUUUGCAAAUGAGAGGAUCAAGAUUCCAGAGAGAGAACCCGGAGGUUUUAGUUUUAGGACACUAUGGGCUUUCACGGGUCCUGGUUUUUUAAUGUCCAUUGCAUAUCUAGACCCGGGAAAUAUUGAGUCAGAUUUGCAGUCUGGAAGAGUCGCUGAAUACAAGUUACUAUGGGUAUUACUUAGUGCGACUAUCUUGGGCCUCGUCAUGCAGAGGUUGAGUGCCCGACUUGGAGUAGUUACUGGAUUGCACUUGGCCGAAAUGUGCUAUAGGCAGUAUAAAAAAGUGCCUAGACUAAUUUUGUGGAUAAUGAUUGAAAUCGCUAUAAUCGGAAGCGAUAUGCAGGAGGUUAUAGGGACGGCGAUUGCUAUUUAUCUGCUAUCAAAUAAGGCAGUACCAUUAUAUAUUGGAGUGCUCAUCACAAUUAUUGAUACCUUCACAUUUUUAUUUUUGGACAAAUAUGGUUUACGAAAACUGGAAUUGUUCUUUGGUUUGCUCAUAACAAUAAUGGCCGUUACAUUUGGUUAUGAGUAUAUUGUGACAGCACCUCCGCAAUUAGAAGUUGUCAAGGGAAUGUUUAUUCCUUCAUUUGAAGGGUAUAGCGGUGAAGUACUGCUGAAAGCAGUGGGUGUCAUCGGAGCAGUUAUAAUGCCUCACAAUUUGUACCUCCAUAGUGCACUUGUUAAAUCUCGCGAUAUCGAUCGAGGACGUCCAGAAAAAGUCAGGGAAGCAAACUUCUAUUACUUUGUAGAAGCCGCGUUUGCACUCUUUGUUUCAUUUAUAAUCAAUGUCUUUGUCGUCGGAGUAUUUGCGUAUGGAUUGUACAAUAAAAGCGGCGAGGAGAUAUACAAAAUCUGUGAAACUAACAAUUUUCCUCUUGGGAUGGAAACUUUUAAAAAUAAUAGUGUAGAUUUGAAUGAUUCGAAUUUGUAUAAUGGUGGAGUAUAUCUUGGCUGCCAAUUUGGAAUGGCAGCGAUGCUCAUUUGGGCGGUUGGAAUAUUAGCUGCUGGCCAGUCGUCGACAAUGACGGGAACUUAUGCAGGUCAGUUUGCAAUGGAAGGCUUUUUGAAUCUUCAGUGGGCAAGGUGGAAGCGAGUUUUCUUCACCAGAUCAAUCGCAAUUAUUCCAACGUUUUUACUCGCAUUCUAUGCUGAUAUCGAUCAACUCACUGGGAUGAAUGAUUUUCUCAACGCUGUCAUGAGUCUGCAAUUGCCUUUUGCCACUUUACCUACGAUUGCUUUUACGAGCAGUGUUCAUAUCAUGGGAGAAUUCAAGAAUGGAUUAGGGAACAAAAUAGUGUCAACCCUAUUGUCAGUCACAGUAAUAACGAUAAACAUUUACUUUGUGGUAGACUCAGUACACAGACAUCUGCCACCUCAUUGGGCAAUUAUACUUGGAUUUUCAAUUUAUGCAUUCUGUUACCUGACCCUUUGUGUCUAUCUAAUUAUACAUAUGGCUGUGAACAUGGGAGCAACUUCCCUCGGCAAUCACUGGUUCGUCGCCAAAUACGUUGGUGGUCCAGUGGAUAACACUUUCGGCCUAUCUAAUCCUGCCGUUUAUUCGAGCUUUGUCAACACUUCGGAAGUAUCCCUGGACGCCUAAACAUAUAUCCAGUUCUAAAAGAAAGUGCCCAAAGAAAUUAGUAUACAUGAAUUAUAUUCUAGAACCAUUACCAUUAUGAAUAAGACAUAAAUUCGCGACUUUUGUGACGUCUGCCUGAUGUGCCAUAUGGUACAUGCUGCUGUGACUGCUACUGCCAAGUAUGGGACUUCGUAAGAGGUGAAGAUUGGGCAGGAUAGUUUAAAUGGCGAUUUCGAGCAUAUAAAACUUGUGUCACUAACUCUACAGAAGCACUGCUUGGAGAUGAAUUACUAACUCUACAAAUAUAUAUGAUCAACGGGAAUUUUAUAAAAAAGGUCAAAAAGCUCUAAUGAAGAGUGAUAAAUGAGAAAAGAAAAAUUAUGUAAUUGUAUUUCAGAACAAACCCAGCCUUUUCAGCUGAUGAGGCAAUGGAUAGUAACAAUAUCUUUUCUAUCAAUCGAGCCGAUACUGUCUUAUACUAACCAAUGAGCAAAAAGGAUUGUAUUUUUAGGAUUUUUUACAUGUAAAAUAGAUUUCGAAUAGACGCUGAGUCUUGAUUGUAUAUUCUAGGAAAUCUUAUACGCAAACUGAUGUAUAUGUGAUAAUAAAU